rnacentral:piRNA from 1 species
UAGAUUUUCUUUUUAAGAAUGUUAUCCGCCA